AUACGUAGGGGGCGAGCGUUGUCCGGAAUGAUUGGGCGUAAAGGGCGCGUAGGCGGCCCGGUAAGUCUGGAGUGAAAGUCCUGUUUUUAAGAUGGGAAUUGCUUUGGAUACUGUCGGGCUUGAGUGCAGGAGAGGUAAGUGGAAUUCCCAGUGUAGCGGUGAAUGCGUAGAGAUUGGGAGGAACACCAGUGGCGAAGGCGACUUACUGGACUGUAACUGACGCUGAGGCGCGAAAGUGUGGGGAGCAAACAGGAUUAGAUACCCUGGUAGUCCACACUGUAAACGAUGAAUGCUAGGUGUAGGGGGUAUCGACCCCUUCUGUGCCGCAGUCAACACAAUAAGCAUUCCGCCUGGGGAGUACGGCCGCAAGGUUGAAACUCAAAGGAAUUGACGGGG
rnacentral:rRNA from 1 species